AGAAAAAUGUUUCUAAAUACGAGACAGGAGGAGGAGGAGAAAGUGGAUGAUGAGGCGCGUCAUGACACAAAGAACAAGGUGGGAAGCCAACCAGAGGGGACGGGGAGCAGCUGGUUGCCCUGGACAAAAUAAAAAAGGCAGCCAUUAUUGGCAUCAAUGGAGACUGGAUAAGAUGCUACAUUGAAGAAAUGGCCGGCAGCCAGCCGAGGGCAGAUAGGCACAGCUAUAAAUUCCAAGCUCG